CCCAGUCCUCAAGGACCCCACUACCAGUCUAGGAUUUAGGGAUUACCUGGUUGUGUCUAAGGUGUUUAGAAAAAGGAAAAAAAACACCUUAGACUCUAAGGUGCUUUUUUACCCAGGUAAUCCCUAAAUCCUAGACUGGUAGGGGGUCCUUGAGGACUGGGU